rnacentral:lncRNA from 1 species
UCUUGACAAGACUCGAUUAUUCUGUGGGCUCUAUACACCAAGAUGCCUGAGGGGGAGAAACAUAAUUUAAACUACAGAACAGGUGUGAGGGUAAAUCUGGCCCCCGUUCCUCCAUCUUGGCUGGAAGUGGAAGUCCCGGUGGAUAUUUUUGAGCCCCUGAUGUAUGCCAGGCACUGCUGUAAGCACUGAGUAUUCAAAGAUGAACAAAAUGAUGUGGCCCCAGUCUCCUAAAAUUUACUAUCAAGAGAAGAAGACAACAGCAUUACUGAACCAGGCACAAAGGAGUGUAGUAAAAGGACAUUUCUUACCCUGAGCCUGGAAAGGGCAUGGCAUUUGCAGCCUGGCAGAGUCUGAUUUUCACCCCAUUCCAUCCCAUCUGACUUCAUAGAUGGGGUCCUGCUAUGUUGCCUAGGAUCAUCUUGAA